CGGAGCGUGGCGCAGUCCGGAAGCGCACCUGAAUGGGGUUCAGGGGGUCGCGGGUUCAAAUCCCGCCGCUCCGA
rnacentral:tRNA from 1 species